rnacentral:rRNA from 1 species
CAGGAUGAACGCUGGCGGCGUGCUUAACACAUGCAAGUCGAACGGAGUUUUAAACCGAAGUUUCGGAUGGAAGUUUAGAAACUUAGUGGCGGACGGGUGAGUAACGCGUGGGUAACCUGCCUCAUACAGGGGGAUAACAGUUAGAAAUGACUGCUAACACCGCAUAAUAUAGCGAAACCGCAUGAUUUUGCUAUCAAAUAUUUAUAGGUAUGAGAUGGGCCCGCGUCUGAUUAGCUAGUUGGUGGGGUAAAAGCCUACCAAGGCGACGAUCAGUAGCCGGCUUGAGAGAGUGACCGGCCACAUUGGGACUGAGACACGGCCCAAACUCCUACGGGAGGCAGCAGUGGGGAAUAUUGGACAAUGGGGGAAACCCUGAUCCAGCGACGCCCGCGUGAGUGAAGAAGUAUUUCGGUAUGUAAAGCUCUAUCAGCAGGGAAGAUAAUGACAGUACCUGACUAAGAAGCCCCGGCUAACUACGUGCCAGCAGCAGC